GACGAACCGUGCGAACGUUGUUCGGAAUCACUGGGCUUAAAGGGCGCGUAGGCGGGCGGCCAAGUCCGGGGUGAAAGCCCCCAGCUCAACUGGGGAAGUGCCUUGGAAACUGGUCGUCUUGAGGGAGGUAGGGGCAUGUGGAACUUCGGGUGGAGCGGUGAAAUGCGUUGAUAUCCGAAGGAACACCGGUGGCGAAGGCGGCAUCCUGGACCAACACUGACGCUGAGGAGCGAAAGCCAGGGGAGCAAACGGG
rnacentral:rRNA from 1 species